rnacentral:rRNA from 1 species
AUUGAACGCUGGCGGCAGGCCUAACACAUGCAAGUCGAGCGGAGCGGCGGACGGGUGAGUAAUGCCUAGGAAUGUGCCUGGUAGUGGGGGAUAACGUCCGGAAACGGGAGCUAAUACCGCAUACUAUCAGAUGAGCCUAGGUCGGAUUAGCUAGUUGGUGGGGGAAAGGCUUACCAAGGCGACGAUCCGUAACUGGUGUGAGAGGAUGACCAGUCACACUGGAACUGAGACACGGUCCAGACUCCUACGGGAGGCAGCAGUGGGGAAUAUUGGACAAUGGGCGAAAGCCUGAUCCAGCCAUGCCGCGUGUGUGAAGAAGGUCUUCGGAGUGUAAGGCACUUUUAGUUGGGAAGCGGUACCAACAGAAUAAGCACCGGCUAACUUCGUGCCAGCAGCCGCGGUAAUUC